UUAUUUAAAGAAGAAAUCUGAGGUAUAACUAACUUGAUUAGGUGGUGUAAUAGCGAGGACUGAGAAGUUACGCCAUGGCCGGGCCUCAUUUAUUUGCUCUUCUUCCGCCCUCCCUCCCUCCUCUCUAAAGAAGUCAGCGAUUAGAGUGAUUCAGACUAUAUUUCAGGAAGAGUGAAAUGUCAUGGCAAAAAAUGAAAGAUGGAACCGUUUCGUCCUGAGAUAUUGAGAAAAAUCAAAACUCCUGGUUCUUCUCGUGUCCUUGGGGAGCUAAAUAUUUUACCAGUAACAAAAUUGAAAGUCUCUAAAGAAUUAGACAUUUCAUUUCAAAUGCCUCUUACUUUCUAAAGAGCUCUCUUUGUUUAUAUUCAAGGAGGAGGUUUUAACUGCAACAAGAGCAUCAGAACU
rnacentral:lncRNA from 1 species